GACGAACGUUGGCGGCGUGCUUAACACAUGCAAGUCGAACGGAAAGGCCCUGCUUUUGUGGGGUGCUCGAGUGGCGAACGGGUGAGUAACACGUGAGUAACCUGCCCUUGACUUUGGGAUAACUUCAGGAAACUGGGGCUAAUACCGGAUAGGAGCUCCUGCUGCAUGGUGGGGGUUGGAAAGUUUCGGCGGUUGGGGAUGGACUCGCGGCUUAUCAGCUUGUUGGUGGGGUAGUGGCUUACCAAGGCUUUGACGGGUAGCCGGCCUGAGAGGGUGACCGGCCACAUUGGGACUGAGAUACGGCCCAGACUCCUACGGGAGGCAGCAGUGGGGAAUAUUGCACAAUGGGCGGAAGCCUGAUGCAGCAACGCCGCGUGCGGGAUGACGGCCUUCGGGUUGUAAACCGCUUUCGCCUGUGACGAAGCGUGAGUGACGGUAAUGGGUAAAGAAGCACCGGCUAACUACGUGCCAGCAGCCGCGGUGAUACGUAGGGUGCGAGCGUUGUCCGGAUUUAUUGGGCGUAAAGGGCUCGUAGGUGGUUGAUCGCGUCGGAAGUGUAAUCUUGGGGCUUAACCCUGAGCGUGCCUUCGAUACGGGUUGACUUGAGGAAGGUAGGGGAGAAUGGAAUUCCUGGUGGAGCGGUGGAAUGCGCAGAUAUCAGGAGGAACACCAGUGGCGAAGGCGGUUCUCUGGGCCUUUCCUGACGCUGAGGAGCGAAAGCGUGGGGAGCGAACAGGCUUAGAUACCCUGGUAGUCCACGCUGUAAACGGUGGGUACUAGGUGUGGGGUCCAUUCCACGGGUUCCGUGCCGUAGCUAACGCUUUAAGUACCCCGCCUGGGGAGUACGGCCGCAAGGCUAAAACUCAAAGGAAUUGACGGGGCCCCGCACAAGCGGCGGAGCAUGCGGAUUAAUUCGAUGCAACGCGUAGAACCUUACCUGGGUUUGACAUGGAUCGGGAGUGCUCAGAGAUGGGUGUGCCUCUUUUGGGGUCGGUUCACAGGUGGUGCAUGGCUGUCGUCAGCUCGUGUCGUGAGAUGUUGGGUUAAGUCCCGCAACGAGCGCAACCCUUGUUCACUGUUGCCAGCACGUUAUGGUGGGGACUCAGUGGAGACCGCCGGGGUCAACUCGGAGGAAGGUGGGGAUGACGUCAAGUCAUCAUGCCCCUUAUGUCCAGGGCUUCACGCAUGCUACAAUGGCUGGUACAGAGAGUGGCGAGCCUGUGAGGGUGAGCGAAUCUCGGAAAGCCGGUCUCAGUUCGGAUUGGGGUCUGCAACUCGACCUCAUGAAGUCGGAGUCGCUAGUAAUCGCAGAUCAGCAACGCUGCGGUGAAUACGUUCCCGGGGCU
rnacentral:rRNA from 1 species